rnacentral:rRNA from 1 species
AGAGUUUGAUCAUGGCUCAGAACGAACGCUGGCGGCGUGGAUAAGACAUGCAAGUCGAACGCUGAUCACAUUGUAGCAAUAUAGUGUGGUUGGAGUGGCGCAAGGGUGCGUAACACGUGGGUAAUUUGCCGUGAAGUCGGGGAUAACUUGCUGAAAGGCGAGCUAAUACCGGAUGUGAUCAUCGAGAGGCAUCUUUUGAUGAUUGAAGUUGGGGACCGUAAGGCCUGACGCUUCACGAUAAGCCCGCGGCCUAUCAGCUAGUUGGUGAGGUAACGGCUCACCAAGGCUAAGACGGGUAGCUGGUCUGAGAGGACGACCAGUCACACUGGAACUGAGACACGGUCCAGACACCUACGGGUGGCAGCAGUCGAGAAUUUUUCUCAAUGGGCGAAAGCCUGAAGGAGCAACGCCGCGUGGGGGAUGAAUGGCUUCGGCCCGUAAACCCCUGUCAUUUGCGAACAAUGUGCAUUAUUUAAAAGAUGAUGCAUUGAUAGUAGCGGAAGAGGAAGGGACGGCUAACUCUGUGCCAGCAGCCGCGGUAAUACAGAGGUCCCGAGCGUUGUUCGGAUUCACUGGGCGUAAAGGGUGCGUAGGUGGCGAGGUAAGUCGGAUGUGAAAUCUCCAAGCUUAACUUGGAAAUGGCAUUGGAAACUACCUUGCUUGAGGUUUGGAGGGGGGACUGGAAUUCUCGGUGUAGCAGUGAAAUGCGUAGAUAUCGAGAGGAACACCAGUGGCGAAGGCGAGUCCCUGGACAACACCUGACACUGAGGCACGAAAGCUAGGGGAGCAAACAGGAUUAGAUACCCUAGUAGUCC